ACCCGCUGAACUUAAGCAUAUCAAUAAGCGGAGGAAAAGAAACCAACAGGGAUUGCCCUAGUAACGGCGAGUGAAGCGGCAACAGCUCAAAUUUGAAAUCUGGCGUCUUUGGCGUCCGAGUUGUAAUUUGCAGAGGGCGCUUUGGCAUUGGCAGCGGUCCAAGUUCCUUGGAACAGGACGUCACAGAGGGUGAGAAUCCCGUACGUGGUCGCUAGCCUUUACCGUGUAAAGCCCCUUCGACGAGUCGAGUUGUUUGGGAAUGCGGCUCUAAAUGGGAGGUAAAUUUCUUCUAAAGCUAAAUACUGGCCAGAGACCGAUAGCGCACAAGUAGAGUGAUCGAAAGAUGAAAAGCACUUUGGAAAGAGAGUUAAAAAGCACGUGAAAUUGUUGAAAGGGAAGCGCUUGCAGCCAGACUUGCCUGUAGUUGCUCAUCCGGGUUUUUACCCGGUGCACUCUUCUAUAGGCAGGCCAGCAUCAGUUUGGGCGGUUGGAUAAAGGUCUCUGUCAUGUACCUCUCUUCGGGGAGAACUUAUAGGGGAGACGACAUGCAACCAGCCCGGACUGAGGUCCGCGCAUCUGCUAGGAUGCUGGCGUAAUGGCUGU
rnacentral:rRNA from 1 species